rnacentral:rRNA from 1 species
GAUGAACGCUAGCUACAGGCUUAACACAUGCAAGUCGCGGGGGAGCAGGGGGGUUGCUUGCAACCCCUGAUGGCGACCGUCGCACGGGUGAGUAACGCGUACCCAACCGGCCCUUCACCACGGGAUAACCCGGCGAAAGUCGGACUAAUACCGUAGGUUGUCCAUUGACGGCAUCCGAUUUGUGCGAAAUGCUUGGCGGUUGAAGGGUGGGGAUGCGUCCGAUUAGCUUGACGGCGGGGUAACGUCCGAGCGUGGCUACGAUCGGUAGGGGUUCUGAGAGGAAGGUCCCCCACAAUGGAGCUGAGACACGGUACAGACACCUACGGGAGGCAGCAGUGAGGAAUAUUGGUCAAUGGGCGUAAGCCUGAACCAGCCAAGUAGCGUGCAGGAUGACGGCCCUAUGGGUUGUAAACUGCUUUUAUGCGGGGAUAAAGUGGCCCACGUGUGGGCUUUUGCAGGUACCGCAUGAAUAAGGACCGGCUAAUUCCGUG